CCUACGGGCGGCAGCAGUGGGGAAUAUUGGACAAUGGGGGGAACCCUGAUCCAGCCAUGCCGCGUGUGUGAAGAAGGCCCUCGGGUUGUAAAGCACUUUCAGUGAGGAAGAACGCCUGGUGGUUAAUACCCAUCAGGAAAGACAUCACUCACAGAAGAAGCACCGGCUAACUCCGUGCCAGCAGCCGCGGUAAUACGGAGGGUGCGAGCGUUAAUCGGAAUUACUGGGCGUAAAGCGCGCGUAGGUGGCUUGAUAAGCCGGUUGUGAAAGCCCCGGGCUCAACCUGGGAACGGCAUCCGGACCUGUCAAGCUAGAGUGCAGGAGAGGAAGGUAGAAUUCACGGUGUAGCGGUGAAAUGCGUAGAGAUCGGGAGGAAUACCAGUGGCGAAGGCGGCCUUCUGGACUGACACUGACACUGAGGUGCGAAAGCGUGGGUAGCAAACAGGAUUAGAUACCCCGGUAGUC
rnacentral:rRNA from 1 species